CCUACGGGUGGCAGCAGUGAGGAAUAUUGGUCAAUGGGCGGGAGCCUGAACCAGCCAAGCCGCGUGAGGGAAGAAGGUACAGCGUAUCGUAAACCUCUUUUGUCAGGGAACAAAGGCGGGGACUAGUCCCCGGAUGAGGGUACCUGAAGAAAAAGCAUCGGCUAACUACGUGCCAGCAGCCGCGGUAAUACGGAGGGGGCAAGCGUUAUCCGGAUUUACUGGGUGUAAAGGGAGCGUAGACGGUGCGCCAAGUCUGGAGUGAAAUGCCGCAGCUUAACUGCGGAACUGCUUUGGAAACUGGCGAACUAGAGUGCGGGAGGGGUAAGCGGAAUUCCUAGUGUAGCGGUGAAAUGCGUAGAUAUUAGGAGGAACACCGGUGGCGAAGGCGGCUUACUGGACCGUAACUGACGUUGAGGCUCGAAAGCGUGGGGAGCAAACAGGAUUAGAUACCCCAGUAGUC
rnacentral:rRNA from 1 species